AAAUAUUACAUUGCACGACACAUAAAUAUUUUAUUUUUUUAGAACAAAAGCAGGCCUCGCAAAAACAACCCGCUUCUCCCUAUCUAUCUUUCGAUAAAACCCUAAUAACACCAAUUUUCUCAGAAAUAAUUCAAUCUCUCAAAUAGAAAUAGAUUCGUUACCUAUCCAAACCAAUGAAAGGGGAAUUGUGGGUCAGAGAAAGAAUGAAAAGAAAACGAGAAGAGAAGCGAGAAAAGGGUAAAAUCCACCGACACCGGUGGCUACAUGCCGGAGCUUAGGUAACCUUGAACGGUCACCUUUAAUCCUUGCUCUGGAGGCUACAUGUCGGAGCUAGCAUGGCCGAUUCGUCACAAUUAGGUUUCCUUUACUUUUUAAUUUUUGAAUUUCAGUUGUUAAUGAUUUUUUUUCCAAUUCUCAGUUUAAUGGUUUUGAUUUACAAACCUUUUUUUUAUGAAUAUCCUUUCUAUUAGAUUAGAUCCACACAUUUCAUUCGCUAGAAAGUUGUUGGUUAACGUGUUAAUUAUACAUGUGUGAAGUUAGGUUUAAAGUUUUUGUUCAAUAUUUGUGUUUGUAAGACAUUCAAAAACAUUCAAUUUGACUCCAAAAUAUUGUUGUAAACAUUUUGUGAUUUAAACUGCUGUUUUUUCAUCUUAAAUUUCUGAAAUGUCAGUGAGUUAAGCAAGCUCUUGUGAGGGAUCCAUUGAUGUGGCUAGUGUAGUUGUAAUAGUAAGAAGAGAUCAAUAUACUAUGUAUGCGAAGGUGAUGCAGUGCUGCUCGGCGGUUUUUGUUUCUGUCUUUGGUGGUUAUUUCUCACACUGGAAACCUGUGAAAGCCUUCCUCUUCGGUGCUGCUGCAACAAUUUCUUUUUACCCUGGGAUGGUUCUGUUCUGGUUCCUUUUUUUUUUUUUUUGAUAGAAUAUAUUUAGUCUUGGAUUGUGUAGUGGCUAUAGCACUUUGCCCUGUUUUUCCUGUUUCUAGUUUGUCUUCAUUUUUUUCCUUUUGGCCUUUAAGAGGGCUUAUGUACUUCUUGUAUCAGUUUUCUCUGUUCUUAUCAAUAUAAUUUAGCCUCUUUUAAAAAAAGUUCUCUAUUGUAUUUAUAAGUUUGUAUCUUUAGUGUCCGGUUGUUGUAGAUAAUUAUUCCCAACAUUCUUUACAAGGAAAGAAAGUGGUCUGAUUCAUACUAGGUAUGUUACUUUGACAUUUUUGGUUUGAAUCGAUGUAUUAUUGGAUCUGACUAAUAUAUUGACUAGUAUUUAGGAAGCUUUUCUCUAAAACUUGUCUCUAUGUUAAGGACUCCACAUGCUCCAACCUUUGUUAAGGACUCCAUAUGCUCCAAACAUUUGUUAAUCUGUUGCAGAUAAAAGGCCAAAGUUAGUUAGGGGAGAUUCUGCUAGAGUGGUGCAAAUUUAAUCAACAACUCAAUCAAGUUUACUCUAUUUACAUCAUGUGUGCUUCUCAGAAUAACUUACUUGCCCUUUUGGAAGAUAUAUAGGCUUUCUGGAUAGAAAAAUGUUGCAUACAAAGGAGGAUUUAAGUACAGCUGUAUAUUUUCGGGUGGAUUCACAAUUUGUUUCAGUUUGUAAGGCUACUUUUGGAAGCUUAUUAGGGCAUCGACGGCUACAAUUGAAGUCAAAAAGGAAGAUGGAAACUAAGGGAAAGUGUCUCGUCUUGCUUUGUAAAAAUUGAUUUUGAAUGACUAUUAGUUUUAACAACUUAGGAAUUAUUUACAAUCAUAUUCCUUGUGUAUUCUUGGACACAUUGUUUUCUUGUGGAACACUAUGUAACAAUGAGAGUAAUCUAAUUUUGUAGUAUUUAAAAUUACA